rnacentral:rRNA from 1 species
UCCUACGGGGGGCAGCAGUGAGGAAUAUUGGUCAAUGGUCGGGAGACUGAACCAGCCAAGCCGCGUGAGGGAUGAAGGUACAGAGUAUCGUAAACCUCUUUUGUCAGGGAACAAAGGCGGGGACGCGUCCCCGGAUGAGUGUACCCGAAGAAAAAGCAUCGGCUAACUCCGUGCCAGCAGCCGCGGUAAUACGGAGGACGCGAGCGUUAUCCGGAUUUAUUGGGUUUAAAGGGUGCGUAGGCGGGUUAUCAAGUCAGCGGUAAAAUCGUGGAGCUCAACUCCAUCCAGCCGUUGACACUGAUGAU